rnacentral:rRNA from 1 species
AGUGAACGCUGGCGGUAGGCCUAACACAUGCAAGUCGAACGGAAGCACAGUAAGAGCUUGCUCUUACGGGUGGCGAGUGGCGGGCGGGUGAGGAAUACAUCGGAAUCUACUUUUUCGUGGGGGAUAACGUAGGGACACUUACGCUAAUACCGCAUACGACCUACGGGUGAAAGCAGGGGUUCUUCGCACCUUGCGCGAUUGAAUGAGCCGAUGUCGGAUUAGCUAGUUGGCGGGGUAAAGGCCCACCAAGGCGACGAUCCGUAGCUGGUCUGAGAGGAUGAUCAGCCACACUGGAACUGAGAUACGGUCCAGACUCCUACGGGAGGCAGCAGUGGGGAAUCUUGGACAAUGGGCGCAAGCCUGAUCCAGCCAUACCGCGUGGGUGAAGAAGGCCUUCGGGUUGUAAAGCCCUUUUGUUGGGAAAGAAAAGCAGCAGGUUAAUACCCCGCUGUUCUGACGGUACCCAAAGAAUAAGCACCGGCUAACUUCGUG